rnacentral:rRNA from 1 species
GCUUGUCUCAAAGAUUAAGCCAUGCAUGUCUAAGUAUAAGCAUUAUACAGUGAAACUGCGAAUGGCUCAUUAUAUCAGUUAUAGUUUAUUUGAUAGUCAACUCUACUUGGAUAACCGUAGUAAUUCUAGAGCUAAUACAUGCGUCAAAGGGGCUUUACGGCUUCUGUAUUUAUUAGAUACAACCAGCUCCGCAAGGAUUUUGGUGAAUCAUAAUAACUGAACGAACCGCUUCAUUGCGGUGGUUCAUUCAAGUUUCUGCCCUAUCAGCUUUCGAUGGUAGGGUAUUGGCCUACCAUGGCGUUAACGGGUAACGGAGAAUUAGGGUUCGAUUCCGGAGAGGGAGCCUGAGAGAUGGCUACCACAUCCAAGGAAGGCAGCAGG